GGGAAUGGCCUGCGCUACCAUGCAGUCGACGAUGAAGCCCUUCGGGGUGGAUUAGUGGCGAACGGGUGAGUAACACGUGGGCAAUCUGCCCUGCACUCUGGGACAAGCCCUGGAAACGGGGUCUAAUACCGGAUACUGAUCGCCUUGGGCAUCCUUGGUGAUCGAAAGCUCCGGCGGUGCAGGAUGAGCCCGCGGCCUAUCAGCUUGUUGGUGAGGUAAUGGCUCACCAAGGCGACGACGGGUAGCCGGCCUGAGAGGGCGACCGGCCACACUGGGACUGAGACACGGCCCAGACUCCUACGGGAGGCAGCAGUGGGGAAUAUUGCACAAUGGGCGAAAGCCUGAUGCAGCGACGCCGCGUGAGGGAUGACGGCCUUCGGGUUGUAAACCUCUUUCAGCAGGGAAGAAGCGAAAGUGACGGUACCUGCAGAAGAAGCGCCGGCUAACUACGUGCCAGCAGCCGCGGUAAUACGUAGGGCGCGAGCGUUGUCCGGAAUUAUUGGGCGUAAAGAGCUCGUAGGCGGCUUGUCGCGUCGGUUGUGAAAGCCCGGGGCUUAACCCCGGGUCUGCAGUCGAUACGGGCAGGCUAGAGUUCGGUAGGGGAGAUCGGAAUUCCUGGUGUAGCGGUGAAAUGCGCAGAUAUCAGGAGGAACACCGGUGGCGAAGGCGGAUCUCUGGGCCGAUACUGACGCUGAGGAGCGAAAGCGUGGGGAGCGAACAGGAUUAGAUACCCUGGUAGUCCACGCCGUAAACGGUGGGCACUAGGUGUGGGCGACAUUCCACGUCGUCCGUGCCGCAGCUAACGCAUUAAGUGCCCCGCCCUGGGGAGUACGGCCCGAAU
rnacentral:rRNA from 1 species